rnacentral:rRNA from 1 species
UGGGCCUUGAGUUUGACACCUACGCUAUAGACGAUCUCUUAGAAAAGGCCAGACAAGUUUAUUUUCAGACACAUACACAGCAUGGCUCUGUUAUCAUUCCUAGCACUCAAUGUUAAUUCCUUUUACUUCCAAAAAAAAGUUAAUGAUUAAACCAUUUUAUUUUUUCUAACUAUGUUUGGUCAGUGACUUACAUUUGUUUAAUAAAUUACAUGAUUAAAAAAAAAUUUAUCAAAAGAUAUCAAAUAGAAAUCAUUCCAAAGUGGGAGCCUAAGAAACAGAUACCACAUCCAAGGAAGGCAGCAGGCGCGCAAAUUACCUAUUCCCGACACGGGGAGGUAGUGACAAAAAAUAACGAUACAGGUCUCUUUYGAGGCCCUGUAAUCGGAAUGAGCGUAUCCUAAACCCAUGGGUGAGGACCCAUUGGAAGGCAAGUCAGGUGCCAGCAGCCGCGGUAAUUCCAGCUCUAUUAACGUAUAUUAAAGGUGUUGCAGUUAAAAAGCUCGAAGUUGCAUCUCGGGAGUGGGCUGGCGGUCUGCAGACCGCCUGUCCCAGACCCUGCCUCCCCAGUCCCCCCCGGAUGCCCUUGGCUGGGUGUCCGGUCCCUUUCAGGGGUCCGGAGCAUUUACUUUGAAAAAAUUUGAGUGUUCAAAGCGGCCCGCCAAACUUGCCCGAGUACCUGAGCUAGGAAUAAUGGAAUAGGACUCYGGUUCUAUUUUGUGGGUUUUUGGAACCAUUAAAAGGGGCGGCCUGGGGCAUUCGUAUUGCGCCGCUAGAGGUGAAAUUCUUGGACCGGUGCAAGACGGACAAAAUGUUUUCAUUAAUCAAGAAUGAAAAUCGGAGGUUCAAAUACGAUCAGAUACAGUCAUAGUUCCGACCGUAAACCAUGCUGACCCAUGAUCUGGUGGCAUUAUUCCCAUGACCCGCUGGGCAGCAUGCGGGAAACCACGAGUCUUUGGGUUCCAGGGGGAGUAUGGUUGCAAAGCUGAAACUUAAAGGAAUUGACGGAAAAGCACCACCAGGAGUGRAGCCUGCAGCUUAAUUUGACUCAACACGGGAAACCUCACCCGGCCCGGACACAGAAAGGAUUGACAGUUUGAUAGCUCUUUCUCGAUUGUGUGGGUGGUGGUGCAUGGCCAACUUCUUAGGGGGACAAGUGGUGUUCAGCCACGCGAGAUGGAGCAAUAACAGGUCUAUGAUGCCCUUAGAUGUAUGGCGCAUGCGCGCCACUAUGGUCGGAUCAGUGUGUGCCUACCCUACGCCGAGAGGCACGGGUAAUCCACUGAACUCCAUUCGUGAUUGGGACUGGGGAUUGCAAUUAUUCCCCAUGAACGAGGAAUUCCCAUAAACGCGGUCAUAAACUCGCGUUGCCCUUUGUACACACCGCCCGUCACUACUACCGAUCAGAUGGUUUAGUGAGGUCCUCGGAUCGGCCCUGCUAGGGCUCCUUGCGGACCUUGGCGGAGCGCCGAGAAGUUGAUCAAUCUUGACUGACUAGAGGAAGUGAAAGUSGUAACAAGGUUUCCGUGGGUGAACCUGCGGAAG